GAUGAACGCUGGCGGCGUGCUUAACACAUGCAAGUCGAACGGAAAGGCCCAAGCUUGCUUGGGUACUCGAGUGGCGAACGGGUGAGUAACACGUGGGUGAUCUGCCCUGCACUUCGGGAUAAGCCUGGGAAACUGGGUCUAAUACUGGAUAGGACCACUUCUUGGAUGUUGUGGUGGAAAGUUUUUUCGGUGUGGGUUGAGCUCGCGGCCUAUCAGCUUGUUGGUGGGGUAAUGGCCUACCAAGGCGUCGACGGGUAGCCGGCCUGAGAGGGUGUACGGCCACAUUGGGACUGAGAUACGGCCCAGACUCCGACGGGAGGCAGCAGUGGGGAAUAUUGCACAAUGGGCGCAAGCCUGAUGCAGCGACGCCGCGUGGGGGAUGACGGCCUUCGGGUUGGAAACUCCUUUCGCUAGGGACGAAGCGUUUUGUGACGGUACCUGGAGAAGAAGCACCGGCUAACUACGUG
rnacentral:rRNA from 1 species